GCUGGGUGUGGUGGCGUGUGCCUGUAGUCCCAGCUACUCGGGAGUCUGAGAUGGGGAGGAUUGCUUGAGUCCAGGAGUUCUGGGCUGCAGUGUGCUAUGCAGGUUGGGUGUCCGCACUAAGUUUGGCAUCAAUAUGGUGACCUCCCAGGAGUCGAGGAUCACCAGGUUGCCUAAGGAGCGGUGAACCAGCCCAGGUUGGAAACGGAGCAGGUCAAAACUCCUGUGCUGAUCAGUAGUGUGAUUGCGCCUGUGAAUAGCCACUGCACUCCUGCCUGGGCAAUAUAGUGAUACCCUGUCUUA
rfam:Cavia porcellus supercont2_161 genomic scaffold, whole genome shotgun sequence.